CAUAGAAUCAGAAAAAUUGAAAUAUGUGAAUGUGAGAUUCUGAACACUAAUAUAUAUAUUUAUUUUACUCAAACAAAUCUAGAAAAAUCUGCGUAGCGAAUUUUUAUAUAUAUAUAUAUAAAUAUAUAUAUAUACAUAUAUAUAUCUAUAUAUAUAGAUACAUAUAUGGUGGACUGAUCAUCAUAGGCUCGUGUCACGGACCCCCUGCAAUGCCGCCGCAGACCACCAGGGGGCCGCGGACCCCCGGUUGAAAACCCCUGGUCUAGAUCGUCCAAGUCGUUCUGUAGGGUUGAAGGUGAGCGGGCCGGUCGGGUUUCCCCCAAGUUGAGUCAUUGACAUACUUCCAAUAUGCGUUGUAUGAUGUUCCCUCGUCGUUGGUCAUGGCCAAGAAAAUCAGGGGGCCUAACAAAGUUCCCUGAGCCACCCCACAGGUGAGUGAUUCCCUGUCUGACAGGGCAUGUUGGUAGCGAACCCUCUGUCUACGGCUCAAAACAAAACUGCACACCCAGGGAAGAAGUGAGGGCCGUACACCCAUGUAUAUGAGUUUUGUAACAGCUGUUUUGUGGCACACUCUAUCAAAUGCCUUGCUAAAAUCUGUAAGAACCAAGUUAUUGACAGUUUGCUUGUUCUCUGUUCCUUGGUAGAAAAAGUCAAGGAUCUCUAUCAGACAGUGGGAUGUGGAGAUGCCUUUGAGGUUUCUGAACUGCCUGGUGUCAACCGCUGGCCUGAUGUCUCGUAGAAGCCAAGAGAAAACGAAACCCUCCACUACAAAUUUUGAUGUUAGUGACACUGGUCUAAUUUUGUCCAGGUCUGCUGGUUGUUCUUUUCGGACGGAUGACAAUCGCUUCCCGCCACUCAGGUGGUGCAUUUGUGAUGUCAGUAAGCGGGAUGGCAAGUUCGCAAGCAAACUCUUUGAUAAGGGUGGGCGGUAUAGCAUCAGGACCUGGAGCCUUGGUCACCUUUACUCUUUUUAGGCGCUGGUACAUUUGCCCUGGCUCAAUCUGGGGUGGUGGUGUAGCUGGUAAGAAUGCUGGGCGCAUAUCCCGGUCAGAUGCAUUGACAAUGGCCAGGGUAGAGAUGAUGGCAUCCUUUGACUCAACAAACCAUAUGUAUAUACCACAUAUAAAUUCUUGAGUUCCACCUUGCAGUCUUGUUUAGGCCUUAGCUCAGGCAUUCCCAUCUGGCAUUGUGUAGACUUUAGUUUUUCAGCACCUACUGUGCUGCUGUGGAAGUAUUCCACAGUUGCUUUCACUUUGUCCACAGUGGGCUUCAUCACCUUCAGAGCAUCUCUUACAAUCAGGUUGAUUGUGUGGGCAAGACAUGGAUGAUGGGUCCACUUUGUGUUCUUAAUUUAAUAUACAUUGUUCUUAUGUAAUGCUGUGCAAAAUAAAAAAAAUCUAGGUUGGUAGAUAAAAGCAAACUCUGAGACUACAGUGUUGUAUGCCUGUAUAUUAGAAAGUGCAUUGCAGGUGAAAUGUUUUUAUCAACAUAUGUUGCUGUCAGGGAACAUGCCAGCAUGUUGGGUAAAUGAACAUCAGAAACUCUUUAUGAUUCUCUGGAUACAGAACACGUCUGUUUGUAACUUUAAACACUCAUCUAAUUAUAGGAAUUCCUCAAAUUGUUGUCAUGAAGCAGGUAGACACUGCUUGUCCAGAAGUGGCACGUGAUCUGAAAAAUAUCUAACGAAGCAAGGAGACCAAAUCUAAGACCUGCAGCAAUAUGCUGUGUAUCCCAAUGACCUGCAUCCUGCCAGUGAAGAACUGCCAUUUAGAGUUAAAGAGAAACGAUGACAUGGAUGUCCUGGUGUUGGAGGCUAUGACUAAGAUUGUAGAGGUUGCCAAUGACUACAUAUGGCACGUUCAGCAGAAGAAAAAACACCUCUCA